rnacentral:rRNA from 1 species
GAUGAACGCUGGCGGCGUGCUUAACACAUGCAAGUCGAACGGAAAGGCCACAGCUUGCUGUGGUACUCGAGUGGCGAACGGGUGAGUAACACGUGGGUGAUCUGCCCUGUACUUCGGGAUAAGCUUGGGAAACUGGGUCUAAUACCGGAUAGGAAUCACAUGUGGGUGUGUGGUUGGAAAGCUUUUGCGGUAUGGGAUGAGCUCGCGGCCUAUCAGCUUGUUGGUGGGGUAAUGGCCUACCAAGGCGUCGACGGGUAGCCGGCCUGAGAGGGUGUACGGCCACAUUGGGACUGAGAUACGGCCCAGACUCCUACGGGAGGCAGCAGUGGGGAAUAUUGCACAAUGGGCGCAAGCCUGAUGCAGCGACGCCGCGUGGGGGAUGACGGCCUUCGGGUUGUAAACUCCUUUCGUCAGGGACGAAGCGAAAGUGACGGUACCUGGAUAAGAAGCACCAGCUAACUACGUG